rnacentral:rRNA from 1 species
CAGCCCUAAACGAUGCGCGUUAGGUGUAUCGGUGACCACGAGUCACCGAGGUGCCGAAGGGAAACCGUGAAACGUGCCGCCUGGGAAGUACGGUCGCAAGGCUGAAACUUAAAGGAAUUGGCGGGGGAGCACAACAACGGGUGGAGCUUGCGGUUUAAUUGGAUUCAACGCCGGAAAUCUUACCGGGACCGACAGCAACAUGAAGCGAGCUGAAGACUCUACUUGACUAGCUGAGAGGAGGUGCAUGGCGUAGUCGUGU